UACAGAGGGUGCGAGCGUUAAUCGGAAUUACUGGGCGUAAAGCGUGCGUAGACGGUUAUUUAAGUCGGGUGUGAAAGCCCCGGGCUCAACCUGGGAAUUGCAUUCGAGACUGAAUAGCUAGGGUACGGUAGAGGGAAGCGGAAUUUCCGGUGUAGCGGUGAAAUGCGUAGAUAUCGGAAGGAACAUCAGUGGCGAAGGCGGCAUCCUGGACCGAGAUCGACGCUGAGGCGCGAAAGCUAGGGGAGCAAACGGG
rnacentral:rRNA from 1 species